rnacentral:tRNA from 1 species
ACUGCCUUAGUUCAGUUGGUAGAGCGUUGAAGUACCAAUCCGGAAAUCGAAGGUUCAAAUCCCGCCGGAAGAC